GAAUAUUGGACAAUGGGCGAAAGCCUUAUCCAGCCAUGCCGCGUGUGUGAAGAAGGUCUUCGGAUUGUAAAGCACUUGAAGUUGGGAGGAAGGGUUGUAGAUUAAUACUCUGCAAUUUUGACGUUACCGACAGAAUAAGCACCGGCUAACUCUUUGCCGUCAGCCGCGGUAAUACAGAGGGUGCAAGCGUUAAUCGGAAUUACUGGGCGUAAAGCGCGCUUAGGUGGUUUGUUAAGUUGGAUGUGAAAGCCCCGGGCUCAACCUGGGAACUGCAUCCAAAACUGGCAAGCUAGAGUACGGUAGAGGGUGGUGGAAUUUCCUGUGUAGCGGUGAAAUGCGUAGAUAUAGGAAGGAACACCAGUGGCGAAGGCGACCACCUGGACUGAUACUGACACUGAGGUGCGAAAGCGUGGGGAGCAAACAGG
rnacentral:rRNA from 1 species